ACGCUGGCGGCAGGCCUAACACAUGCAAGUCGAGCGGUAGAGAGAAGCUUGCUUCUCUUGAGAGCGGCGGACGGGUGAGUAAUGCCUAGGAAUCUGCCUGGUAGUGGGGGAUAACGUUCGGAAACGGACGCUAAUACCGCAUACGUCCUACGGGGGAAAGCAGGGGACCUUCGGGCCUUGCGCUAUCAGAUGAGCCUAGGUCGGAUUAGCUAGUUGGUGAGGUAAUGGCUCACCAAGGCGACGAUCCGUAACUGGUCUGAGAGGAUGAUCAGUCACACUGGAACUGAGACACGGUCCAGACUCCUACGGGAGGCAGCAGUGGGGAAUAUUGGACAAUGGGCGAAAGCCUGAUCCAGCCAUGCCGCGUGUGUGAAGAAGGUCUUCGGAUUGUAAAGCACUUUAAGUUGGGAGGAAGGGUUGUAGAUUAAUACUCUGCAAUUUUGACGUUACCGACAGAAUAAGCACCGGCUAACUCUGUGCCAGCAGCCGCGGUAAUACAGAGGGUGCAAGCGUUAAUCGGAAUUACUGGGCGUAAAGCGCGCGUAGGUGGUUUGUUAAGUUGGAUGUGAAAUCCCCGGGCUCAACCUGGGAACUGCAUUCAAAACUGACUGACUAGAGUAUGGUAGAGGGUGGUGGAAUUUCCUGUGUAGCGGUGAAAUGCGUAGAUAUAGGAAGGAACACCAGUGGCGAAGGCGACCACCUGGACUAAUACUGACACUGAGGUGCGGAAGCGUGGGGAGCAAAC
rnacentral:rRNA from 1 species